rnacentral:rRNA from 1 species
GACGAACGCUGGCGGCGUGCUUAACACAUGCAAGUCGAACGGAAAGGCCCUGCUUGCUGGGUACUCGAGUGGCGAACGGGUGAGUAACACGUGGGUGAUCUGCCCUGCACUUCGGGAUAAGCUUGGGAAACUGGGUCUAAUACCGGAUAGGAGCCAUCUUUAGUGUGGUGGUUGGAAAGUUUUUUCGGUGUAGGAUGAGCUCGCGGCCUAUCAGCUUGUUGGUGGGGUAAUGGCCUACCAAGGCGGCGACGGGUAGCCGGCCUGAGAGGGUGUACGGCCACAUUGGGACUGAGAUACGGCCCAGACUCCUACGGGAGGCAGCAGUGGGGAAUAUUGCACAAUGGGCGCAAGCCUGAGGCAGCGACGCCGCGUGGGGGAUGAAGGCCUUCGGGUUGUAAACUCCUUUCGCUAGGGACGAAGCUUUGUUGUGACGGUACCUAGAGAAGAAGCACCGGCUAACUACGUG